CCGAGUUUUCUAACUCCCAAACCCACUGUGAACCUUACCUUUUGUUGCUUCGGCGGGACCGCCCCGGGCCUCAGCCCCGGAACCAGGCGCCCGCCGGAGGUCUUUAUCAAACUCUUUGUCUCUUGUCUUUAGAACGUCUGAGUGGCCCAAUGGGCAAAAAAAUGAAUCA
rnacentral:misc_RNA from 1 species